CCCUUAGAUGUUCUGGGCCGCACGCGCGCUACACUGUUCGACGCAGCGAGUCUUAACCUUGACCGAAAGGUUUGGGUAAUCUUCAGCAAAGUCGAACGUGAUGGGGAUCGAUCAUUGCAAUUAUUGAUCGUGAACGAGGAAUUCCUAGUAAGUGCAAGUCAUCAGCUUGCGCUGAUUACGUCCCUGCCCUUUGUACACACCGCCCGUCGCUCCUACCGAUUGAAUGAUCCGAUGAAUACCAUGGAUUGAGAGUUCGAACAGGUUCGCCUGUUUCAGCUUCUCGAGAAGUGGAGUAAAUCUUAUCAUUUAGAGGAAGGAGAAGUCGUAACA
rnacentral:rRNA from 1 species